AACACACGCUUGUUUAAUAAGAAAAUUAUUAAUUGAUCAGAUGAUACACGACUCCAAAAGACACCAUUUUUCAGCUCUGCUCCUCUCGCUAAGAAGCUCUCUUAGUGAUUGACCGUUGCAUGAUUAUUUUGGUUUGGUUUCACAGUUAAUAGUUAACAAUAACUACAAUCUAUUGAAAAGCACUCUAAAGGGGACACUGUAAAAUACCAUUUAGUUAUACUCCAAAAAGGUAACACCAACGUUUGUUAAGGGAGGUCUUCAUUAUAAAGGAGUGGCACUGUAUCUUACAAAUACAGAUGGGAUAAAAAAAAGCCUUAAUAUCACAGCAUAGUCAGGCCAUCUCCAUUAAAGGUCCUUCAAAAAGCCUUCAUAUCACAGCAUAGUUAGGUCAUCCUCCAAUAAAAGUCCUUCAAAAAGCCUUAAUAUCACAGCAUAGUCAGGUCAUCCUCCAAUAAAAGUCCUUCAAAAAGCCUUAAUAUCAUAGAUUAGUCAGGCCAUCUCCACUAAAGGUCCUUCAAAAAGCCUUAAUAUCACAGCAUAGUCAGGCCAUCUCCAUUAAAGGUCCUUCAAAAAGCCUUCAUAUCACAGCAUAGUCAGGCCAUCUCCAUUAAAGGUCCUUCAAAAAGCCUUAAUAUCACAGAUUAGUCAGGCCAUCUCCACUAAAGGUCCUUCAAAAAGCCUUAAUAUCACAGCAUAGUCAGGUCAUCCUCCAAUAAAAGUCCUUCUGAACCCAUAACUAACACAAUAUUUCGCUUUUAGAUACGAGAAGUAUCAU